rnacentral:misc_RNA from 1 species
AAAGUCGUAACAAGGUCUCCGUUGGUGAACCAGCGGAGGGAUCAUUACAGAGUUGCAAAACUCCCAACCAUUGUGAACCUACCUCACCGUUGCUUCGGCGGGUGGCCCGGGGAGACCCGGGCCGCGCCGGCCCCCCUCGGGGAGCCGGCAACCCGUCAGAGGCCCCGAAACCCUAGCAUAUUGGCCUCUCUGAGUAACUUAUACAAUAAGUCAAAACUUUCAACAACGGAUCUCUUGGUUCUG